rnacentral:lncRNA from 1 species
UCUGAUUUGUUACUCACGGUUCUGUUUACAGUUGGUCCUGUGCAGGGUCGAAACUCAAAGGCUUCAACAGGAAUGUCUCUCUGAAAGACUCAGAGAAGGUAGUGGUUUCGGGGAGGAGGAGAGGGAGUCAAGGGGAGAGAGAGAGAAUAGAUUGCCCCAUGUCUAUAGUACAAUAGAACCAAAAAAAGUUGUGUAAGAAGAAUGAGGAAAGAUAGAGAGCUGCUUCUAUGGUAGAAGAGGAUGGAACUUGAAAGU